ensembl:lncRNA
AGAGAGAGCUGGAGAGGAGGACAGGAAGGCAGGCCAGGGCCAGGCCUCUGUGUAAGGAGGCAAAGGAGAGAGAGCCUUAGCAUGUUACACAAAGCAUCCUACACCCCCGGAAGGGAUGACAUCAUAGAGGCUUUAUCACUCUUGCUGUCAUGUGAAGAAUGGACCCUGGGGACAGAGGAGAGGAUGUUAAGAGUGGAAGCAGAAAGACAAGUUGGGAGGCUGUGGCCAUGAAUUACAGAGGAGAUAAUGUUACCUUGGACUAGGGUAAAAGCAGAGAAGAAAAAAGCAAGGGCAAAGCUGAGGACAUGGCAACCCACUCCUGUAUUCUUGCCUGGAAAAUUCCAUGGACAGAGGAGCCUGGCAGGCUACCGUCCAUGGGGUCACAAAGAGUUGGCCACAACUGAGUGACUGAGCACAUUCAAUAGAAGGCGAGCAAGUGAAGCCAGUGAGUAGGCGAGGCUCCUCUCAGUGGUUCUGCUGUGAAAUAAAAGUGCGAGUGAGAAGGCCAGACAGAUGCCGAGGCAGCUGGAGGGGGCUAUGGGCUCCAAAACGAUUUUUAUGUUUAAGGAAAGAGCUGUUAUAACACACAGGGAGAUUUAUAUGAGUCAGUCAGUAGAGGGGAGAGAGAAAGGAG